UUAUGGCCAUAUCACGUUGAAACACCGGUUCUUGUACGAUUACCGAAGUUAAGCAACGUCGAACCUGGUCAGUACCUAGAUGGGUGACUGCUUGGGAAUACCAGGUUUUGUAAG
rnacentral:rRNA from 1 species